rnacentral:lncRNA from 1 species
UUUUUUUUUUUUUUUCCAAGCAGGCAAACAUCUGCAGCACACUUUCAGAUAACCAUAGCAAUGACAUGAGGACAUUGGCAGGCACGCUCUGUGCUCAUCAGCUGCGCGCUGUGAUUCAGCGGUCCCGCACUCGGGGCCCAACCAGGAGGAACCCUUCAAUGGAGACCCUGCCCCAGGGUCAGGGGUAGAGCUUUCACUGGAGCAGAACGGGGGGAAUGAGGCUCUCAGCGGAGUUUCGAUGGAAAUCACAGGUGUUUCUUCCCUGCCUCCUCCCUGCGAGAGGCCCCUCUGUGUUCUGCUAUGGUUUGUUUUUCUGGCAACCAGUGGGCUCUAUUUUUCUUGCCUGUGUUUUUAUGAGUGAUGUUUGGUUUCUGCUAGAACAACACAAAACAGCACACGGCUGGGGGAAAAUUUGUGGUGGUUUUUUUUUUAGUUCUUCUUCUUCUUUUCUUCCUUUUAGGAACGAUGUAAAGAGUGAUUUGAAAGCCCUGUUUGCAGCAAAACUGUUCGGAAGGAUUGAUGGAGGUUUCAGACCAGCUGGGGGUCGCAGGUCAAAUGGUUUAACCCCCCAGAAGGGUGAGAAAUGAGAUUAGCAGCCCCAGCAAAGCCAUGAAAGGGGCUGUGGGAUGCAUGGUACAGGAGGGCAACAGAGAUGUGUGGUGGCAAUGGGCUGAGCCCUCAGAGCAGCUGUGUGAGAAGGGCUGGCAUCGCCUCCCAGCUUUGCUCGUGCCCAAGUGGGGCCCGGACGUGUCUGAAGACAAAGAAGGGAAUCACAGCUGGCCAAAGUGAGAGAAUGGAAAGAAACAUCCACAUGCUCAGACCAGCAGGAGAACAAAUAUCCCAGCUUUUAAGAGGAAAAGGUUUUUUUUUCAUUUGGUGUGGACUAAGGUGUUUUAAAACACCAGAUAUUGUGUUCAAAAGCAGAAUUGAUUGCUGUUCAGAGCAGGCUGUAGUCAAACAUCAAGCGUGAAGUAACAGCAGGUGUUUCAUAAAUCUUUAGAGCAGUCGCUUUAAAGGAGAUCUGUCUUUUACACUAAAGAUGAGAUAUUGGUAUUGCUAAUAUGCAUUAUCCACACACCUCUGUCCAACCAGUGAAAGAUUUUAGCUGUGCGCUGGCAGAAAAAAUCAGUGGCAUAUGUUGUGUAUAAAGCAUGAGCAUGACUUGUUCUCACCGAAUCACCCAGGGGUUGGAAGGGACCUCUGGUGAUCAUCUCAAGGCCACUCUUGGCACGGGGAGGUCAUGAAAUCAUCAUUCAGAAAGCUCAGUUAGGCCAAGGCAGAGCCUCUCCUCCUGUUUUACUCUUCUCCCCACCAAGGACAUUGCAGGCAUGCAAUGCUCGCAGCAGCAAUUGCUCUGAGGGCCCUGGGAGCCCUGCAAGGACAGGAGGCAAUGGGAACCCUCAGCCUGCAUGGGUAACCCUACCUGUUAGACAGCUUGCAGGGGAGGAGGGCAAUGGAAAGUCUGGAAACAGAAUAUGGGAAGGAAAAAUGCAAGGCCUCCGUGUUACAUGAGAUCAUUGCUGCAAAGUGCAUACCACUGUAAGCAAAACUAGUGCUUAUUUGCAGCAACAAGCAGUCUUUCUCUGCCUCUACAUGGGGUUUGUGAAGGAUUAACAGACUGGCUAAUUCAAAUCAUGCAGAAUGGGCAAACCCUCUUCCUGUGGUCUGUGAGAAUGAAGAAAAUAUGUCAGACACCUCCUGGCCUGAGAAAUGUGUUUGCAUGGUGACCACAGCAUUGACAGGACUGAGAGGCAUUGCAUUGGGUUCCUCAAAGGAGGAAAAACAGUCUAGGCUGCUUUAAAAAUAAAUAAAUAAAUAAAAGUGUCUCUAUACAAAUGUGAUUUAUUUAAAGCCAGAGGUGUGAAGAUUAUCUUCUGAGCCUGCCAAACUGGCUGCAAACGUCCUGAAAAGCAGACUGUAUUAUUAUCACUUUGUGUUACACUACUUCUAAAAGAACAGAAAAGGGCUUUGGAAGCAAAAAGAUGAAAACAAGUUUUCUCUUUAAAUUUAUUUCUUAGAUUUUGUGUAAUUCUAUUCUAUAUACACACAGUGUAGAUAAUAGAGGUGUCAGCUAUGGGAUAUUGCAACAUCCAGGAUGUAACCUAUAUCUCUGCCCACAUCUUCACUCUCAAACAUGCAGUACCUCAUAUUCUUUGCCACUGCUGGACUUGGGCAGGGCUCCAGCACUUCAGAGGUCACUGGGCUCUUGAGUGGCCAAUUUGUCAAUAGCUGCUUUUGCCAUGUUUACUCAGGUAUUAUUCAGUUUUGUGCCAAUAAAACAACCUGGUACUGCUGGUUCUGUUCCAUGUAUUGUUUAUUCUCUGGUAUUUUGACCUUAGAGUUCAUCUAUGAAACAUAUUCAACCAGUGCUCCUAGAAGCUGCUGUGGUGCUGAAUAGAGGAGAGCAGGGAUAGAGUGGGAUGGGAUGGGAUGGGACGGGACGGGACGGGACGGGACGGGACGGGACGGGACGGGACGGGACAGGACAGGACAGGACAGGACAGGACAGGAUAGGAUAGGAUAGGAUAGGAUAGGAUAGGAUAGGAUAGGAUAGGAACGGAACGGAACUAGUGCUUUUGCUUUUCUAGUUGGAGGAAGACAAAUUUGAUGUUUCCUUUAAACUUGAAAGUACUCAUUUUUUCCCUCACCUUACAUUUAAAGAUCACAAGUUUUAUCCCAUGGAGAAUACCCGCCCUUUCCUCUUUCCAGUCAUGUCCAAGUCCUGUGAAAACAACAGCAGCCCAACCCAGCAGAUCACAGCUGCAGCUUGACCCUUCUUCCUUCAUGACAGCAUGACUCUAUGGAAGUCCAUCCUAAGAUGCUCCACCAACUCCAACCUGCUGGUGUGAAAAUGCCUGCUCCACGGAGGCCUCCAAGGCCCAAUCACCUUCCAACAGACGUUUUACAAGCCUAAUUUUCAGAGGACGGCUGUUCAAAGCUUUCUGAAAACCAAGACCUUUAGAAGUUUCUUUAGCUGGACACUCAAUAGCUAAGGCAUCCAAAUCCCUAGCUAUUUCUGAACAUCUUGGCACACAGUGCUGAGCAUAGGAAAUGGGUGAGAUUAACGACUUCAGCUCACACAUCAAGCAGGAUAUGAAGGGCUUCGCGUGCUAUGUGCAUAGUAUGUCCCUUUUGCCAGUGUCAAUCAGAUUUUAAAGCACAAAAAGACAUUGUACCCACUGGGAGAGCAAGCAUUUCACUUCUGCGGAUCAAAACUUAAAGGAAAUAUCCUCUUUCUUCCUGUCUCCCUACCUUUACAUGAGCUGGAGAAUACAAUUACCCAACAUGAAAAAUAAAACAGUAAAUUUACAAGCUAAAAAUCAGAGGGGACUGCUUCCUCUAAUUGCCUUUGUGUGGUGGUUUGGGGUUUUUUGGUUGCAUUUUAUGCCCAAGAGAAGAUCAAGGUUUUCUGAAGUGCAUUCUGCUGCACAGGACAUUUCUUAUCAGCCUUGAACUGUGAGAGCCGUGAUAGGAAAUGUGCCAUUCAUUCACAGUGCUGCUGCUGAGGAUUUUAGGCAUAUCUUGAGCACGUUAUCACAUGUUUUGUAUUGUCUACUCAGCCCUGAGAAAGAAACCCUCUAAUCAGGGCCAACAUUUUCUCUUUUUGGAAACCACCAGUUUGUUACUCUGAUUUUUGCCUUGCACUGAUUAAACACUUUCCUGUUGAAACAGUAACUACAGGGACACAACAGC